GGCCUAAUAGCGAAAUCUGCAUCGCAUCCGCUCCCCAUUCGUAUGUGAUGCUAUUGUAUUAUGUGGAAGUCCCUCGUUCGACCCGAGGUUAGGUCA